rnacentral:rRNA from 1 species
GACGAACGCUGGCCGCGUGCUUAACACAUGCAAGUCGAACGGAAAGGCCCUGCUUUUGUGGGGUGCUCGAGUGGCGAACGGGUGAGUAACACGUGAGUAACCUGCCCUUGACUUUGGGAUAACUUCAGGAAACUGGGGCUAAUACCGGAUAGGAGCUCCUGCUGCAUGGUGGGGGUUGGAAAGUUUCGGCGGUUGGGGAUGGACUCGCGGCUUAUCAGCUUGUUGGUGGGGUAGUGGCUUACCAAGGCUUUGACGGGUAGCCGGCCUGAGAGGGUGACCGGCCACAUUGGGACUGAGAUACGGCCCAGACUCCUACGGGAGGCAGCAGUGGGGAAUAUUGCACAAUGGGCGGAAGCCUGAUGCAGCAACGCCGCGUGCGGGAUGACGGCCUUCGGGUUGUAAACCGCUUUCGCCUGUGACGAAGCGUGAGUGACGGUAAUGGGUAAAGAAGCACCGGCUAACUACGUG